rnacentral:pre_miRNA from 1 species
UGCUGGCACAUACUCAAUGGCACUAGAUGAAUUCACGGUUCACCUCUCCUAUCCGUGUAUUCGCCAGUUCCAUAGAGCUGUGCAAGUA